UUUUGCACAAUGGGGGAAAGCCUGAUCCAGCAAUGCCGCGUGUGGGAAGAAGGCCUUCGGGUUGUAAACCACUUUUGUACGGAACGAAACGGUUUGAUUUAAUACAUUAGGUUAAUGACGGUACUGUAAGAAUAAGCACCGGCUAACUACGUGCCAGCAGCCGCGGUAAUACGUAGGGUGCGAGCGUUAAUCGGAAUUACUGGGCGUAAAGCGUGCGCAGGCGGUUAUAUAAGACAGAUGUGAAAUCCCCGGGCUCAACCUGGGAACCGCAUUUGUGACUGUAUAGCUAGAGCACGGUAGAGGGGGGUGGAAUUCCGGGUGUAGCGGUGAAAUGCGUAGAUAUGCGGAGGAACACCGAGGCGAAGGCAGUCCCCUGGACCUGUACUGACGCUCAUGCACGAAG
rnacentral:rRNA from 1 species